AACGAACGCUGGCGGCAGGCUUAACACAUGCAAGUCGAACGCCCCGCAAGGGGAGUGGCAGACGGGUGAGUAACGCGUGGGAACAUACCCUUUCCUGCGGAAUAGCUCUGGGAAACUGGAAUUAAUACCGCAUACGCCCUACGGGGGAAAGAUUUAUCGGGGAAGGAUUGGCCCGCGUUGGAUUAGCUAGUUGGUGGGGUAAAGGCCUACCAAGGCGACGAUCCAUAGCUGGUCUGAGAGGAUGAUCAGCCACAUUGGGACUGAGACACGGCCCAAACUCCUACGGGAGGCAGCAGUGGGGAAUAUUGGACAAUGGGCGCAAGCUUGACCCAGCCAUGCCGCGUGAGUGAUGAAGGCCUUAGGGUUGUAAAGCUCUUUCACCGAUGAAGAUAAUGACGGUAGUCGGAGAAGAAGCCCCGGCUAACUUCGUGCCAGCCGCCGCCGUAAGAC
rnacentral:rRNA from 1 species